UGCAUCGAACUGCUUCCCUCACUUUCGAUCAGUUGUUGCUCCACGAGAUAAACGUUGGACGCAAGACAUGGGUUCCUGUGUUGCAUACCUAUUGCGACGGAAAUGUGUGCCUUCGAUCGUCCCUUCCAUCACGGCGUCCUCACGGAUGCUCGGUUGGACCGGAUAGUGGGGCUCGUGUUCCACGAACGUCGUCUCAUUCGAUCGUUCGGAUGGACCACGGGUGCCUACUCGUUCUCUCGGAUGCGGAACUCUCUUAAUGGGCGUGGGGUCAUCGGCCCUUGGUCCCUAAUCGCUAAGCGUUUAUCGCUUCACCGGAAUGACGAUCUCGCCUUGUCCUUGACCACGCGAAGCCCUCGGGCAUCGCGAUGGAUCAUGCUCGGCGGACGUCGUGAAGGAAUGC
rnacentral:misc_RNA from 1 species